GAGCGCAUGAGAUUGUACAUUGCGGUGUAGGGAGCGAUUUAUCACGAUGAUACGCAAUCGUGUUUUUAGGUGUUGUAUCAUGGCAAUGUUGCUACUUGUUGAGGGAUCGUCUCGGUCUUCUUGGACAUGGGAAUCCAUUCAGAGCGCAAUUGAAUUACCUGGCUUCAGCCAGUACUUUGCUUUACGUAGAAAAUUGGAAUCUGGUGAACCAAUAAAUGUCCUCGGUCUGGGAUCUUCUGUGAUGGCCACGUACGGUGGAUGCUACAACAUGUUCAGCCGGAAUGUAACCGGAACCCUUCGAGGAUAUCAAAGUACAACGUGUGACAUCGGAUCCAGUCAAUGGUGGAAGAACACAGUUUUUACAGGGUGGGUCACCCGUUUUAUGAACUGGAUUAAUGAAGCAUGGCCGCAUGAACAUCAUGUGUUCAUCAACGAUGGCCACGGAGGUUGCACAUUUGGUUGCUACACUGAUUCCUGUUUUUCAUUACCGCAUCCAUUAGACCUUGUCAUUUUGGAGAAUAUGGCUGGCAAGAGUGAAUCCGUAGACGUCGAAAGAUUGGUACGCCAUAUAUUGCAUGAAAGUAUUAUCAGGCAAGGCUUCAAACCAGCAAUUAUUAUAGUUAAUAGCAAAUGGGCUUACAAUAAAGAGUGGUAUGUGCAGCAAAAGUUUUGGCAAAUGUCUGUCACAUUGCCCUUGCCAGGGAUGCAUGUGUUAAGCAAAACGGGUCUCAGUGUUCCAGCCUUACAUGUAGCAACUUCACGUCACUGAUUCCUGAGGAAUACAAUCUUGGUCAUGAUUAUAGUAAAUAUAUGUCUGUUGUAUAUAUCCUAGGUGCGGUUGCGGUUCUGAGCAGAUACUCGGAUGUCAUUUAUACGUCUUACGCAGCCCGUUAUUAUCGAGUGUCUGUUGUUAGUCUCGGCCGAGCUUUGUAUGAUAUCGCGCAAUCAGGUGGCCUAAACUGUUGCACAGGGACUGCGCAUUGUAAGGCUCUAUCGGCAUUGUAUGAGAAUUACAUACAUCCAGCACAUGAUGGCAUGGCUUUGUUGGGUGAUAUGUUGAUUGGAACUUUGUCGACUGCGUUUCGUAACAUUGACGAGCAUCGUAUGCCGAUAGACCAUAUGACAAGCAAUGGCGAAAUACCCCCUCCGCUGCUAGGACAUUUUCCACUCAAUGUUACGAAGUGCUUUAUGCAGUAUAGAGAUGAGCUGCCUCAUAAUAUCCCCGCGUCAUUGUUGCCAACGUGGUAUCUUCCUGUGGUGGGAAGUUCAGGAUUCAUGUUUCUUGCUUACGAGUCGUCACCGUACCACCUUAAACCUGGAUUAGUGUCAGACACAGUUGGCAGCGUGCUGCGAGUUUCUAUCUCGACUUUUGUAAGAGGUAGCUGUAGUGAUGGAUUAACACAUGUUGUCGUGAAUUAUUUGGGCAGUUAUCAAAAUAGAUCAGCUGUUUCCAUCACAUGUAUAUCUGGGUGUGCUUGCGAUCCUGUCAGAUUUGACUCAACAAUUUCAAUGCAAGCAAGUAUCACCCUCGUGAAGGAGGUACCCAUCAAACUGGGCGGGUCAAAGUGUUUGCUAGAGUUUAAGACCUUGAAAGGGAUCACGGGCUCACGUUUUAAGCUCAUAGGACUGUCUGUUCGUGCCAGGGCUUGCAAUGUUGCCGGACUGCCAACAGUGCAAGACGAGUGAUGCGGCUCGGUGGCGGCUUAUAUGACAUCCACUACUGUUCAUCUGUAUCCCAAUACAAUCGCUGUGGUUGCCCGAAUCCAAAUGUAAUAAGAUUGGGUCGUGAGGCAGCACGACUGCCACCCUGCACGCACCUUUUAUGGGUCCUCGCGUACGGCCAUGCGGCAAAUUUUACUAUAAGCUCAUUAGAACAACCCCCGGGCACCAAAUCGAGCCGGGGCCGACCCCCGGGGCACCAAACAUCUCAGUGUAAACUCAAAUAGUUG
rnacentral:lncRNA from 1 species